AAUUCAAAAUUAUUUGUCAUAUUGUGCCUCAUAAACACACUGCCGGGUGCUACUCUUUGUAAAUUGAAGCUCUGUCUUUAUUUGAUCUAUACUAAAUUACUUUUAAAACUUACGACCAAAGCAAAGCAAAUUGUCCGAAAUAAUAUGAAACAAAUUGGUACUUUUCAAUCGAUACCUCAUUUUUUAAUUUCCACACGGGUUUUGUCAAUGGUAUUUUAUUCUCUUUGGCUCAAUUUUUAUGUCAUCUGUUUGUCAAAUAUCACCUUCAAAUAUGUAGUCAAAAUAAAGCUCUUAUUUUAAUCGAAAUAAAUAAAUCAAAUUGGCCAUAAUGAAAACGGGCCCGGGGGCAUAAGUUAUGGACGGAACAAUAUAAGAUGGGUUGCUGUCACGGCUGCACCGAUGACAGUUGGGAAGUGUUCUACGAUGAUCACAAAGUACAUGCGUUCCUGGCUGGAUUAGUGUUCAUUACUCUCCUACUGGCGUACAAGCUGUUCAGGUGCAAAUACCCCAUGGCCGCUGGCGCUGGCGCUGCGAGGCGGCGCGGGACCUGGAUCAAUACGAGAUAUUUCUCGUUCUAGAUUGCUUUGGAAAUAAGCGUCCUUGGCUACUCGCAACAGGUUUUCACUAUUCUUUUCACCAGUUUCUCUCACCAUGGAAGAGAAUUGACUGUUGGGGUCGGAGAG